UUUACAAAGCUCCACUUUAAAAGGAGGGAGGGAAAAAAACACUAAGAAACAAGUUAUUCUAAUCUACCCGUCAAGUUACUUAAUCAUGGUGUAUGAAAGUUGAAUGGUACCUCUUUCCUUUAUCACAGUAUCUUACAGUACCUGAGUUCUUGACAUGAGAGGUAAAGGUUGUGUUCAUUGUGGCGUGUAAAGGCUUGUGUGAUGUAACUUCUUAGCAAGCUUGUGUGUUAUAUUUAAACCUACUGAAAAUUUGAUGUUUAGCAACUCAGAAGAGAAAAGCACCUUCAGGGGGCCAGCACAGUGGCACUGGAGCUUGUAUUAGAGUGGAUGUUACGUGUCAGGCACUGCACCAUUAAUGAAGAUAGCAGAGGAUAUAUGGAGUGUAGGAAGGCUAUGGGAGCAAAAGGGAAUAUUCGUAGUGUGGUUGGUCAAACUAAGAGAGAAUGUAUUGGUAUUCUCUAAGCUUCUCUUGGUAUUCUCUAAGCUUCUGGAUCCCUUCUAUCACAGAUUUUCUAUUAUUUGUAGUUUGCAGCAGCAUUUUGAGACUAUGGUAAUCGGGCCUCCCGGUAGUAAGGUGCAGUACAGAAACAAACAAGAAACAAAAUUAAGGCAGUGCGCAAGCACAGUAAGCCUACAACCUGCCUAGAUGAAGAAGCACUAGAUCAGAGAAGGCACCUGUAGCUGCAUAUCCAUUCCUAACAGAAACAGUACUUGACAAUUCUCAUGUGCUCUUCUGCAGAACAAGUGAAAAAGAGUCAUAAUGACUUACCCCAGCUUAGGGUGAUUUGAACGAGAGAGGAUCUGACGAGCUUCAUUGGUGUAGUGCUUACUAAAAUACCUUGAUUAGCUAGAAAAGGAAGAAUGCUCAGUCACCUCGCUACCUAGAAUGGAAAAGUUCCAUUCAAGACGUGCAGAUCUGAGGGCUUAAAGCAUUAACUACAGUUUCUAACUGCUACGGAACAAUCAGCGGGAGUGUGUUAGUUAGAAGUCUCCCUGCAAAUAUGCAUUACAUUUUUUUCCCCCAAUGAAUUGAGAUGCUAUUGUAUAUACUCCAUAUAAUUGCUUUAUCUGUAUCAUUCACCUGUAUUGCAUUUCUGGUUUCUACAGAGCCAGCAAGGGAGACUGCUGUGACAGGGAGCACUGACUCUCUCCAAGAACAGAAGCUCAGUACCCUGACUUGUCUGACUCACUGCUACAGAGCAGGUAAAACUUUCAGAGG